rnacentral:rRNA from 1 species
UUUCGCAAUGCCCGAAAGGGUGACGAAGCGACGCCGCGUGCGGGAAGAAGGCCUUCGGGUUGUAAACCGCUGUCGGGAGUUAAGAAAUGUAAGGAUGUUAAUAGCAUCUUUGCUUGACUAAGGCUCCGGAGGAAGCCACGGCUAACUCUGUGCCAGCAGCCGCGGUAAUACAGAGGCGGCAAGCGUUGUUCGGAAUUAUUGGGCGUAAAGAGCACGUAGGCGGCUAUGUAAGUCGGUUGUGAAAGCCUUCCGCUCAACGGGAGAACAGCAUCCGAUACUGCAUGGCUUGAGUGCGGGAGGGGAGAGUGGAACUUCUGGUGGAGCGGUGAAAUGCGUAGAUAUCAGAAGGAACGCCGGCGGCGAAAGCGGCUCUCUGGCCCAUAACUGACGCCGAGUGUGCGAAAGCUAGGGGAGCAAACGGGAUUAGAUACCCCGGUAGUCCUAGCCGUAAACGAUGGGCACUAAGUAGAGGGGUUUUAAUCUC